AAAUUGAAGAGUUUGAUCAUGGCUCAGAUUGAACGCUGGCGGCAGGCCUAACACAUGCAAGUCGAACGGUAACAGGAAGCAGCUUGCUGCUUCGCUGACGAGUGGCGGACGGGUGAGUAAUGUCUGGGAAACUGCCUGAUGGAGGGGGAUAACUACUGGAAACGGUGGCUAAUACCGCAUAACGUCGCAAGACCAAAGAGGGGGACCUUCGGGCCUCUUGCCAUCAGAUGUGCCCAGAUGGGAUUAGCUAGUUGGUGAGGUAACGGCUCACCAAGGCGACGAUCCCUAGCUGGUCUGAGAGGAUGACCAGCCACACUGGAACUGAGACACGGUCCAGACUCCUACGGGAGGCAGCAGUGGGGAAUAUUGCACAAUGGGCGCAAGCCUGAUGCAGCCAUGCCGCGUGUAUGAAGAAGGCCUUCGGGUUGUAAAGUACUUUCAGCGGGGAGGAAGGUGUUGUGGUUAAUAACCGCAGCAAUUGACGUUACCCGCAGAAGAAGCACCGGCUAACUCCGUGCCAGCAGCCGCGGUAAUACGGAGGGUGCAAGCGUUAAUCGGAAUUACUGGGCGUAAAGCGCACGCAGGCGGUCUGUCAAGUCGGAUGUGAAAUCCCCGGGCUCAACCUGGGAACUGCAUUCGAAACUGGCAGGCUUGAGUCUUGUAGAGGGGGGUAGAAUUCCAGGUGUAGCGGUGAAAUGCGUAGAGAUCUGGAGGAAUACCGGUGGCGAAGGCGGCCCCCUGGACAAAGACUGACGCUCAGGUGCGAAAGCGUGGG
rnacentral:rRNA from 1 species